rnacentral:tRNA from 1 species
GAGGGUAUAGCUCAAGUGGUGGAGCUCAUGCUUAGCAUGCAUGAGGUCCUGGGUUCAAUCCCCAGUACCUCUU